UGGGGAAUUUUGGACAAUGGGCGAAAGCCUGAUCCAGCAAUGCCGCGUGUGUGAAGAAGGCCUUCGGGUUGUAAAGCACUUUUGUCCGGAAAGAAAUCCUUGGCUCUAAUACAGUCGGGGGAUGACGGUACCGGAAGAAUAAGCACCGGCUAACUACGUGCCAGCAGCCGCGGUAAUACGUAGGGUGCAAGCGUUAAUCGGAAUUACUGGGCGUAAAGCGUGCGCAGGCGGUUUGCUAAGACCGAUGUGAAAUCCCCGGGCUCAACCUGGGAACUGCAUUGGUGACUGGCAGGCUAGAGUAUGGCAGAGGGGGGUAGAAUUCCACGUGUAGCAGUGAAAUGCGUAGAGAUGUGGAGGAAUACCGAUGGCGAAGGCAGCCCCCUGGGCCAAUACUGACGCUCAUGCACGAAAGCGUGGGGAGCAAGCAGGAUUAGAUACCCUGGUAGUCCACGCCCUAAACGAUGUCAACUAGUUGUUGGGGAUUCAUUUCCUUAGUAACGUAGCUAACGCGUGAAGUUGACCGCCUGGGGAGUACGGUCGCAAGAUUAAAACUCAAAGGAAUUGACGGGGUCAUAGCUGUUCCU
rnacentral:rRNA from 1 species